rnacentral:rRNA from 1 species
UACGUAGGGGGCAAGCGUUGUCCGGAUUUAUUGGGCGUAAAGAGCGUGUAGGCGGCCAUGCAGGUCCGUUGUGAAAACUCGAGGCUCAACCUCGAGACGCCGAUGGAAACCGCAUGGCUAGAGUCCGGAAGAGGAGAGUGGAAUUCCUGGUGUAGCGGUGAAAUGCGCAGAUAUCAGGAAGAACACCCGUGGCUAAGGCGGCUCUCUAGUACGGUACUGACGCCGAGACGCGAAAGCGUGGGGAGCGAACAGG